CGUCAUUAAAAGAGAAACGAAUUUUUAAUAGCCUCAAAAAUUUUAUACCCGAAAAUGGAUUUUGAAAAAUACUCCAGGUCCUUUUCUUCCAGAUUCAAAGCAAUAAUGGACAAAGGGAAAUUUAACUUCCGGUUGGGAUUUUUCAAAAGGAAACUACUGAAAGUGGUAACUGCUUAUGUUGCCACAGCCACCAUUAUGGAAAUGUCCUCAAAAUGCAAGUGAAAGAAUAUCAAAGAAAAAGAAAAGCCCCAAAUAGAAUUUUAUGAAUAGUUUAUUGUACGAGUAUUUAUGGAUAACAUAACAAUCUAAGGAUAAUUAUCUCGUUUAAGAUAGAAUUCGCUAUGAAUGAAAUAAAAAUAAAAACCAUAUAAAAGCCA
rnacentral:sRNA from 1 species